rnacentral:rRNA from 1 species
GAAUUCGCCCUUAGAGUUUGAUCCUGGCUCAGGACGAACGCUGGCGGCGUGCUUAACACAUGCAAGUCGAACGAGAAUCUGCUGAAAGAGGAUUCGUCCAAUGGAAGCAGAGGAAAGUGGCGGACGGGUGAGUAACGCGUGAGGAACCUGCCUUUCAGAGGGGGACAACAGUUGGAAACGACUGCUAAUACCGCAUGAUGCGUAAGGGUCGCAUGGCCUUUACGCCAAAGAUUUAUCGCUUCAAGAUGGCCUCGCGUCUGAUUAGCUAGUUGGUGAGGUAACGGCCCACCAAGGCGACGAUCAGUAGCCGGACUGAGAGGUUGAUCGGCCACAUUGGGACUGAGACACGGCCCAGACUCCUACGGGAGGCAGCAGUGGGGAAUAUUGGGCAAUGGGCGCAAGCCUGACCCAGCAACGCCGCGUGAAGGAAGAAGGCUUUCGGGUUGUAAACUUCUUUUAUUAGGGACGAUAAUGACGGUACCUAUUGAAUAAGCUCCGGCUAACUACGUGCCAGCAGCCGCGGUAAUACGUAGGGAGCAAGCGUUAUCCGGAUUUACUGGGUGUAAAGGGCGUGUAGGCGGGACUGCAAGUCAGAUGUGAAAACUAUGGGCUCAACUCAUAGCCUGCAUUUGAAACUGUAGUUCUUGAGUGCUGGAGAGGCAAAUGGAACUCCUAGUGUAGCGGUGAAAUGCGUAGAUAUUAGGAAGAACACCAGUGGCGAAGGCGAUUUGCUGGACAGUAACUGACGCUGAGGCGCGAAAGUGUGGGGAGCAAACAGGAUUAGAUACCCUGGUAGUCCACACCGUAAACGAUGGAUACUA